UCCAGAUGAUCCUUCUGCUGGUAGUAACUGUGCACAUUUCUGUUCUCUUUGCUCCAGUGAAUUACUUCAUCUUGCCCAGGUGGGAAACGACAAGGGAGGAUGCAAUCCUCAGAAAACAGCCCUGUUACUUCUUCCUGUUCCGUAAAACCUAAAGCCCAUAAGUACAAAUAACUCCAACCUACCCCAAAGUGUAGCACUGAUGUGAAAUAAGCAGAUCAUGACAGCGGGUAUGUUCUGUCCUUUCAUUUCUUCACUGGUUCGCAGAUUCAGGUCAAACUGGCAAAAUAAAAGCAGGGCAGAAAAUCUGUUUAAAUGCAGAUAAAAGACAUGUCCAUAUAAAAUUUUCUUUCUACAGCCUGCUAAGAACUACAGGCCUUUGUAUCAUGUGUUUUGUUUGCAACAGACUUGGUCCAGAUUUUUGACAUUAAAGUCAUUCAUUAUGUGAUCCUACGCAUUACAUAAUAGUGGAGCCCACUCAUUACCUUUUAGCCCCUUGCAGAUUUAUGCUUUAUUUUCAAUAAAUAGAAAGUGUUUACUAUCAGUGUUGUUGCAGGGCUAGGGAAUAUUAAUCUUCUUCAUUCCUGAACAGGACCCCAAAGAAAACUGGUCAAGUAAAAUUUACAAAAGUAUGUACGAUGUCCCUUGUCAAGCCUGAUUUUCUUUACUUUUUAAAAUAUUUUUCUGAUUACUGCAACAUUUGACUUUCUGGGGUGGGAAAUUUAAUUGCAUUUGCAAAUACUGCAGAUACAGAGAAUUUUUCACACUUUUUAUACUUUCAAAAAUGUGUGCAUGGAAAUCUAGGAUAGGAAUGCAAAGGAGGAGGAGACUCAUUGUAUCUUUUGUUUUGUCAGACAGCAAUGAACUGGAACUUCUCAUGCGUAACAGAAAAAGAAUAACCUUACUGUAACUAUUACCUGAGUGGAGGAAAAAUGCAGUCUUAUCCUAAAAUACAGCAUACCCCAGUGGAGAAAUUACCUCAUGACUCAAGUAACUUGAAAAAACUUUAAUGGCUUUUCCCUAGUCCUUUUUUUCUCCCCAAAAGGCAGCUAUAGGUACCAUUUCUAACUGGCUUAGCCAGGCUUGCUAGCCAGACCUUUUAGUAUUAUGAAUAAUUUUGACUGGUGUCUGAGACUGUGUUUGUGGUGGACGUGAAUCUUAAAUCCCAAAGAUUUUUGAGUAUUAUUUCUUUUGAAAAGGCAGCAUGCUUGUUUUAUGUAUUCUCACUAUUCUUUUAGGAGAAAAAACCUGAACAAAACAAAAAAAGAACAGGCAUCAAAACAUUAAAUCUGACACAGAACUAGAUGUAAUGGUAAAAUAAACAUUUGAUAAAUAAUUUUGUUCCAUGUAAGCAACAAUUGCCAGUAUCUACCUUCUUUACCCCUUGCAUUGUCAAGUGGGGCACAUAAUGUUUUACUGGAUUUUUUGCUUAUUUACCUAUCACUUCCAACUUGAUCAACAAAAUAUACUGUGCUUGAUGUUUGAAUUUCAGAAACUGUAAUCAAUGCUAUAUUUCCCUUAGUGAGGGAUCUGCCAUGUUUAAUGACAUGUCACCUGGCAGUGAUGCUCUGACAGUAACAUGGUUCCAGUGGUACCUCUGUGAUGCCUUUGGGGGCUGCAUGGACAGUGCACACUGCCUCCCACCUUCUAGCUGUGCCCCAUAACCCUGCUCCAAAAUACAACAGCUACAACUACUUAACUGAAUUCAUGUUCAGCACAAACUAUAGCUUUGGGUCUUCCCAUUAGAGAAAAAGGUAUGCUGGUCUGUAGAAAAAUCUGAGGAGUGUAGAUUCUGGCCAGUCUUUUCAGCAAGUUCUGGGGUCUUACAGGAAUAAGGUGUGUGUAUGCUGAUAAUUAGAUUCACACUGCAAAAUACUGAACAAACAUGCAACAAACAAACAACACCUGUUUGUCACAGUGGCACUACCAAGAAGUCAUGCCCUAAGGCUUUGUAGUGAAACAUCCAUAUGAAAUAAUGUGCACAAGUAGAAUUAAGUUCACUGUAGUCACGUUGGUUACUGAUGCUCUAGUUUUCAGAAUUAUUUCACACAGAAUCACCACAGGUUCAACUGGAAAGCAGCUCAGCCAGGGUUUCUGAGAAGCAAGGCAAGGUGCUAAAAGGCAUCUCCAAAGACAUACUGAACAGCUCAAAUAAUGGUAGGGGGAAUGAUGCAUUUCCUUGGCCACUACAGGAAAAGAACACAUGCUUUCUCUUUCGUCUGUUAAUCAGUGACCAAGUAUGCAAAUAUUUCCUCCUUUUUGAGCUCUGCAGUCAAGCUGAAAUCUGACCAGAGCACUCCUGCAGUAAACAGCCAUCGGGAGUGGUGGCUGCUCAGUGUACUUUGUGACCUCAUUGAGAGCAGAUAUAUUGAAAUAUCCUCCUUUCAAAUAAAUUUUAUUUAUUUCUUAGUGCAAA